rnacentral:rRNA from 1 species
AGAGUUUGAUGAUGGCUCAGAGUGAACGCUGGCGGCGUGCCUAACACAUGCAAGUCGAACGAGAACGGGUUACAGCUUGCUGUAAUUGUCAGCUAAGUGGCGCACGGGUGAGUAAUAUAUAGUUAAUCUGCCCCAAAGAAGAGAAUAAUUGUUGGAAACGACUUGUAAUGCUCUAUAUGCCUUUAUCACAUAAGUGAGCAAGGGAAAUAUUUAUAGCUUUGGGAUGAGACUGUACGGUAUCAGCUAGUUGGUGAGGUAAUGGCUCACCAAGGCUAUGACAUCUAACUGGUUUGAGAGGAUGAUCAGUCACACUGGAACUGAGACACGGUCCAGACUCCUACGGGAGGCAGCAGUGGGGAAUAUUGCACAAUGGAGGAAACUCUGAUGCAGCAACGCCGCGUGGAGGAUGACACAUUUCGGUGCGUAAACUCCUUUUAUUAGGGAAGAUAAUGACGGUACCUAAUGAAUAAGCACCGGCUAACUCCGUGCCAGCAGCCGCGGUAAUACGGGGGGUGCAAGCGUUACUCGGAAUCACUGGGCGUAAAGAGAAUGUAGGCUGGUUAUUAAGUUGGAAGUGAAAUCCUAUGGCUCAA